rnacentral:tmRNA from 1 species
GGGGGCGCCCUGGUUUCGACGUGGAAAUUGAAGCGAACGUUGCGUGUCGUGGGUUUCUUGGUGACCACGUAAAUCCUGUCGAGAAUUUUAUAACUGGCAAUCAAAACAACCAGUAUGCAAUGGCUGCGUAAGCAUCCCUUGCUAACGAUGUGAGGUAACCCCUCACCCGUCCACAUAAGUCCUCGCCUGCGGGUCUUAUGGGACGUCAACCAGUAGGCUUGGUCUCAGGGGCUUCGUCCUUCGCCCUGCGACGACAUUUCGAAGAGCCCUCUUGCGGCAUGGCCUGUCCGUGGACAGUGUUUAGCUGGAGGUAAAACUACCAAUCACGGAAUACACACGUAGUAGCGUUCAGUGGAUAUUCUGCGGACGCGGGUUCGAUUCCCGCCGCCUCCAUAU